rnacentral:rRNA from 1 species
UCUUAGUUCGUGGAGUGAUCUGUCUGCUUAAUUGCGUUUCAAAUUUUAUAUUUGUUAACAUGCGAGUCUUCAAUGACGGCCACUCCACCUUAUAGACAUUAUAUGAUAUGCACAUUUGUGUAUUUGAUUAUAACUUGUCUGGAGUCUGGCUCGAUUUUUUUGACUCAAUUGAACGCAACGGACGUGAUUGCAAGUCCUUGUUGAACAAAUUAUAUAUAUACUACUUCAUCAUUAGUAUAUAUAGUUCGCUUCUCAUGUCGUAGCAGUCAAACGGGCGGGCGUCUUAAUUGGCGCGGUCACGAGGCUUAAUAUGCUGCGGCUGGGAAAACUUGGGCGACCGCUGUAAUACUUCUCUCUUAAACCAGAGGAAGAUUGCGGCAAUAACAGGUCUGUGAUGCCCUCAGAUGUCCCGGGCCGCACACGUGCUACAUUGAUUAGCGCAGUGCGCAUACUUACAUAUAGAUCAUUGAUUGGUUAUUUAUAACCGUCAAUAUCGCCUUGUCUGAAAGGACUAGGUAAUCUAUUGUAAGUGCUGGUUCCUCCUCCCGUUGAGCAUUUUAAUAAUGGUCUCUCUACAUCCCUAGCACAUGAUGUCUAGUGCGAUUGUAGUUGAGUUCUGCCAUUUAUGCAAG